rnacentral:rRNA from 1 species
UGGGGGAUAUUGCACAAUGGGCGAAAGCCUGAUGCAGCGACGCCGCGUGGGGGAUGAAGGCUUUCGGGUUGUAAACCUCUUUCGCUAUCGAACAAGGCCCGCUUAGGGUGGGUUGAGGGUAGGUGGAGAAGAAGCGCCGGCUAACUACGUGCCAGCAGCCGCGGUAACACGUAGGGCGCGAGCGUUGUCCGGAAUUAUUGGGCGUAAAGGGCUUGUAUGCGGCUUGUUGCGCCUGCUGUGAAAACGCGGGGCUUAACUUCGCGCGUGCAGGGGGUACGGGCAGGCUUGAGUGUGGUAGGGGUGACUGGAAUUCCAGGUGUAGCGGUGGAAUGCGCAGAUAUCUGGAGGAACGCCGAUGGCGAAGGCAGGUCACUGGGCCAUUACUGACGCUGAGGAGCGAAAGCAUGGGUAGCGAACAGG